rnacentral:lncRNA from 1 species
AAAAAAAUGCAUAAGGACUUGCACUUUGAUAAUAAUAGACUGGGGCAUGAUCGUUAUUACUACCAUAAGAAAUAUGAAAAUUUUGAAACAAUUCUACACCAAAAGUCCAAAAAAUUGUGAUGAAUUAACCUAACUAACUUCCAUCCUUUUUUCUUUGUUUUUCUCUAUGCCAUUUUCUUUUCCAUUAUCGGUGGCAUAUGAAUCUUCAUCAAUUGGGAUGAAACAAUUCUACAUCAAGGUCUAUUUUGAAAGUUAUCCUCUUUCUUUUUUUCUUCUUAUAAUCAACAACCUGUUGUCAAAGAAAGUAUCAAUAUCAGCAACAACACAUACAGAACUAUAAUAUUCAAGUCCUUAAGUUAGGUUGAACAUAAUCUUUAUCAUCAAAUUCUAUAGUUAAUAACUUCCUUUUGUAUCAUUUGGAUAUUCAAAUGCCACUUUACUCUAUUGAAUAACUACUAAACCCAUAAUGCUUUUUGUAUCAAAUAAAUAUGCAUUAUAGUAACAUAUUGCCUCAUUCAGCUUGAUCAAGUUGUUGAAAAACUUCAGUGUAAUAGUAAAGCUAUAAAAUUGCAAUCAAGGAAUAAAACAUAAAAUUUGUCUUCUAUAAUUAAUCAGAAAGAAAAAAAACCUGAUUUGAAGUUACAUAAGGUGGAGAUCAAGAGCAGAGGAAAUGAGUAGUAGUGGUGGUCAAUGCAGUAGGUAACGAUGGAGGCGGUGGUCGGCAAGGAGGAUGACAACAGCGGUCAGAGAUUGAAGCCGAUGGUCAGAUGCAGUUUGUGAACACAGAGGCGAUGUCUUCAUAAUCAGGAAGCGGGAGAGCAAGGCAGCAAGCCGGUUGAGAGGAAGAAAGCGUCGAAGGGCCAAAUGAGGAAGAUGACCCAAUCAGCUAUUUUUUUUACUCAUUUAGCAUACAAUUUGUACCAUAUGAGAUUCACAACAACAACACCAAACGAAAAAAUAUCAGAAAAAAAAAAUCAUCAAUACUUCAUUAAAUCUAGCAUAAUCAAAGAAGAACAAAAAAAAAGAAACUUGAACAUCACAAAAAAAAUCCAACAUCUCUGCAAAAUUUGAGCACAAAAAAUCGGAGAAAAA